rnacentral:sRNA from 1 species
AAUUCUUGCGAAGAAGAUGGCGGAAUAGAAGAAGAAAGAAGACUUUGUUAUGUUGCAAUAACUCGUGCUAAAGAAAAACUUUAUUUGGUAAAUGCCUUAAGAAGA